rfam:Oryza glumipatula chromosome 4, whole genome shotgun sequence.
AAAAAGGCAAACCGUGGGUUCCCGUGCCAAUGUUUGAAUGUCCGUCUUAUAUGAAAUUUUUUAUAAUUAGUAUUUUCAUUGUUGUUAGAUGAUAAAAUAUUAUUAAUACUUUAUGCGUGACUUAUUUUUUUAAUUUUUUUCAUAAUUUUUUUAAAUAAGACGGACAGUCAAAUGUUGGACACGGAGGGAGUAAGAAUCAAUUAAU